CCUACGGGAGGCAGCAGUGAGGAAUAUUGGUCAAUGGACGAGAGUCUGAACCAGCCAAGUAGCGUGAAGGAUGACUGCCCUAUGGGUUGUAAACUUCUUUUAUAUGGGAAUAAAAUGUUCCACGUGUGGGAUUUUGUAUGUACCAUAUGAAUAAGGAUCGGCUAACUCCGUUCCAGCAGCCGCGGUAAUACGGAGGAUCCGAGCGUUAUCCGGAUUUAUUGGGUUUAAAGGGAGCUUAGGUGGAUUGUUAAGUCAGUUGUGAAAGUUUGCGGCUAACCGUAAAAUUGCAGUUGACACUGGCAGUCUUGAGUACAGUAGAGGUGGGCGGAAUUCGUGGUGUAGCGGUGAAAUGCUUAGAUAUCACGAAGAACUCCGAUUGCGAAGGCAGUUCACUGGACUGCAACUGACACUGAGGCUCGAAAGUGUGGGUAUCAAACAGGAUUAGAUACCCGAGUAGUC
rnacentral:rRNA from 1 species